GACGAACGCUGGCGGCGUGCUUAACACAUGCAAGUCGAACGGAAAGGCCCUGCUUUUGUGGGGUGCUCGAGUGGCGAACGUGUGAGUAACACGUGAGUAACCUGCCCUUGACUUUGGGAUAACUUCAGGAAACUGGGGCUAAUACCGGAUAGGAGCUCCUGCUGCAUGGUGGGGGUUGGAAAGUUUCGGCGGUGGGGGAUGGACUCGCGGCUUAUCAGCUUGUUGGUGGGGUAGUGGCUUACCAAGGCUUUGACGGGUAGCCGGCCUGAGAGGGUGACCGGCCACAUUGGGACUGAGAUACGGCCCAGACUCCUACGGGAGGCAGCAGUGGGGAAUAUUGCACAAUGGGCGGAAGCCUGAUGCAGCAACGCCGCGUGCGGGAUGACGGCCUUCGGGUUGUAAACCGCUUUCGCCUGUGACGAAGCGUGAGUGACGGUAAUGGGUAAAGAAGCACCGGCUAACUACGUG
rnacentral:rRNA from 1 species